rnacentral:lncRNA from 1 species
AGAACUGCUACUAUCAUUUCGGUAUUCAAGUUGGGAGGAAUCAACCCAUGAACCACGAUUAUGUUGUGAGAAAUAUACAUGCCAUAAUUGACCAUCCAAGUUACUUACUCUUAAUGUUACAUGCUCCCAAUCACAAACAUGUUGACCUAUUUUCCCUAAUUUAAUAUCUUUUAAAAAUUUUACUUUUGCUCUUCCAGGUCCAUUAAAUGGGUAGAAAACCCACAUGACAAAAUCAGUGAAUGUUCCUCCUAACAUUGGUUUAACAUGAACAUAAGAUUCACCACUUUGUAUAUUUCCAAUUUUGACCUUAUCUUUGUUUGCAUCAUCAGGUGGUAAGUCUAUCCAAUAUUCACCAUCAGUGUUAGGAUCCUGAGGAAGGUUAGUUCCAUUUUGUGUUAUUGGAACAGGAUUUGAUUCUUGACCUUUCUUGUAUAAUAAUGCUCCAUUGGAGAAAAACCAAUUAAUUGAAGAAGGUAAGUAUUUUUCUUCGGGAUGUAAGGAUAGAAAUGGAGAAUAAACUUGAAGUAUUGCCUCAAUUUGUUUUAGAUUAGGCAUUAUUUGUGUAAUAGAAUUGAGAUUCUUCAAACAGGAAAUUGAUGGAGGGCCACUAGCCACGCCGAUUCGUGCGACAAAGGUUCCGACGCGAACACCGGGAGCUUGAACACCUCUAUUGGAUGGUCUAACAUCAUAAAAAUUUAAGUCAUUGGAUCCCCAAAUCCAUGAAGUAGUUUCACAUUGGUCAGUGAGGUCUGAUCUUACACACUUUAUUUUAUCAAGUGAAGGUUUAUCUACUGUUGUGGUGACAACAUGGCCUAAAGCUUUGUAACCAUCAGGUGCCACUGGUAGCCAAACAAACAAAGUGAAAUCUUGUGAAGCUGAAAUAGUUGAAGUGUUGAAUACAAGUGUGUAAUCGAUUGGUGAUU